rnacentral:misc_RNA from 1 species
AAGUCGUAACAAGGUUUCCGUAGGUGAACCUGCGGAAGGAUCAUUCAUAAUAAGUGUUUUAUGGCACUUUUUAAAUCCAUAUCCACCUUGUGUGCAAUGUUAAGAAGGAAGCAAGAUGUUUAUAAAAAUUUGGAAGGAAACUUUCAAGUCUUUUUUUUUUUUCUUGUUUCCUUUUUCAUAACAAACUCAUAUUUUUUAAACAUAUCGUCUGAAAACUAUUAUGAAUACUUAAUUCAAAAUAUAACUUUCAACAACGGAUCUCUUGGCUCUC